AGAGUUUGAUCCUGGCUCAGAACGAACGCUGGCGGCAGGCUUAACACAUGCAAGUCGAACGCCCGCAAGGGGAGUGGCAGACGGGUGAGUAACGCGUGGGAAUCUACCCUUUGGUACGGGAUAGCUCCGGGAAACUGGAAUUAAUACCGUAUGUGGCUUGAGAGCGAAAGAUUUAUCGCCAAAGGAUGAGCCCGCGUUGGAUUAGCUAGUUGGUGGGGUAAAGGCCUACCAAGGCGACGAUCCAUAGCUGGUCUAAGAGGAUGAUCAGCCACAUUGGGACUGAGACACGGCCCAAACUCCUACGGGAGGCAGCAGUGGGGAAUAUUGGACAAUGGGCGCAAGCCUGAUCCAGCCAUGCCGCGUGAGUGAUGAAGGUCUUAGGAUUGUAAAGCUCUUUCACCGGGGACGAUAAUGACGGUACCCGGAGAAGAAGCCCCGGCUAACUUCGUG
rnacentral:rRNA from 1 species